CUGAGAAGAGAAAGAAGAGACGCUUGGUUUCUCAGUCUCCUGAGAGAGUGCGACGGUGUGUCGGCUGGCUCCCGUACACCUUUGUGGCACUGUCCGGCCCUCUGGGAAUAGUUGCCAGAGUGUCUGAGAGCUGUUAUCCCAGUUGGAGGAGAAGAAGCCUGGGACAGGAGUGGAGAUUUAUCUUCCCUGGCACACUGCCCCACUUUAGGAACUACAGGAAGAAGGGACACUGCUGAACUGCCUUUCCCAGUUAUCCUUUGUCUAAGUGGGGCCAUCUGACUGGUUCUCCCCUGUGCAAUGUGAGCAAAAGUGAUGUGUCUCUUCUGGGCAGAGACAGAUCCUUUGAUAGUUGGUGAGCAGCUGAAACUACAGACUGUAGACAAGACAGAAGGGAGAAAAGACAUUCAAGCAAAUUAAUAUAACAUCUGGCUCAAAAGGAAGUACUCC